CUGAAGUGAAAGCGUUCAUUUCGAAAAUGAAUUGUUACAAGGCAUUGCGAGCGGCCAUUUUUGCAGCUGCGAUACUUCACGCAUUCAUUCUAUGCUCUGGAGAACAGGGAAAUCAACGUGACGUUCUGCAGUGUAAUGACCAACCGUGUGGCGCAUUCAACAAUUUCACUUGUUCUGUACAAGGUUGCUCAUGUUUUUACACGGAUAAUGAAAAUAAUGGUACGUGCUUCGAUGAACAGGACUAUAAGGACUAUUAUGAGCAAACCAAGGAUACUCAAACAGCAUAGACGACUUCGCCAUACGACAGCAUAGGCGCCAAACACAGUGGAAGAGGCGUGAUUUUUCUAUGCCGCCGAAAAUUGGUUGAAAUAAAGCUCUGGUUGUGA